UGGAGAUGUACAAAGAGUUCGCUGAGC
rnacentral:piRNA from 2 species